UCUAUAAAACCGGAGGAUAUACAUGGAUCUUGGUUUACUGCCACAAGCUGUAACAGCACAUCAUAGAUCAAUGAACCCCACUCAAAACUUAUGCACACAAACUAUACUACAUAAAUAACAAUAAUUGAAAAAGGAAUCCAUGUGAUGAUCUUGCUCAGAAGAUAUCCUUCACACAAAGUACUUUAUGGAUGCAAAAAAAAAAUCAAUAAUCUCCAAAGGAAAUUAAUUAGAGUCAUAUGAAUGGUGAAGUAUAUCAAUCCCAUUAUUAUUAUUAAGCAAUACAUGGAUUGUCUGAAUUCAAUAAUAUAUCACAAUACAGUAUAAAAAAAAAGAAAAUAAUUAGUGGUAAAAAAAAAUAGAA